rnacentral:lncRNA from 10 species
CAAGAUCACACAAUUAGUCAACAGAUGAGGUAAGAGUAAACACAGUCCCCACUUGUGCAACUCCAGGACCCAUAUUCAUGACUAUUAUGCUGCGGAAAUCAUGAACCAGAUAAAGUUCACCUUUAGUCCCUUGUCUACACCCUGAAGGUGUAACAUGAGGGAUCCCAUCUGCUAUGGUUUGAAUGUGCGUGCCCGCUCCAAAAUUCAUGCUGAAACUUAAUCCCCAGCGCAACUGUAUCGGAAGGACUAGAACUAUUGCCACUGAGGGCAGGUGAAAGUUCAGCCAACUCGGAACCCGGAGGCCCCACCUUACCUCCCUUUGUGAAGAGCCCAGAGCCUUUGUCCAAAGCUGCAUCACUUCCCACCCAGCCCUUCCUGAGCCAACUCCCCGAUGUCUCCAGAAGAACACAGUCGGCAUCAUCGUGAUAACAUCAGGGAAACUCCUAUUUCCAGCAGUUUCUCCUUCAGCUGCAAAAAUGUGCAGCAGUAGACAGGGCGUGGGUUUUUGAAGUCUCUGCAGGAAGUAGAGUUAUUUUCUCAGCACCACAUCUGAGCGCAUCUUCUAAGGGUGGCCGACUGUGUGGGAGCUGCAGGAGCUCAGCCGGGAUGCAGCCCUCCCAUUCCCCACCCUGUCCACUACCACCACGCCUGGAUCCGACAGGCAGGGCAGGACCCCAUGCCACGUGGUAACUGUUAAGGAAAAUGGAGCCAGGUAGGGGGGAUGUCUGAUACCCUUCCUGGUUUUCCUGAGUGUUCUUUGUCUCCCCAACUCCUACUCACAAUAAAUCUGACUACACUUAAACUUAGAUCAUCAUAAGAGACCCCGCAAAUGCCCACCAUCCUCCACUGCUGUGAUCAUGAAUCUAGAAUGGACAUUUCAUAUCAAUGCCACAGUCCCCUGAGACCAUCAGCCAGAAAUGUUAUCACAACUCCCUCGCUUUGCCCUCCAUUCCCAGAAGGCAAGGAAAGAAGGAACCCAGUUUCCCAGCACCCAGAUGCCUACUGAUCCUGGCACGCAGCUCAAAGUUCAGUUACAUUAAUGAUGGGCCUACUGCAUGCUUGGGGCGCUUCCCUGUGUGUUUUGUGUGGUCCUUUCAGAAGUCCUAUGGAUAGACAUUGUUAGCCCUAUGGUAUAGCUGAAGUUGAGAAUCCCUGGUGGUUAAGUCAUUCCCCCAGAUCACAUGGAUGGCAAGUGACAGAGGCAAGACCCAUCCUUGGGUCAGGUAUGAACGUCUCGAAGGCUUGGAUCUGUCUGCACGUGGGUGAUUAUCACAUCCAGACUUGCACUGAAGGUCAUGCUGGCUGCCAUGGGCUGUGAAUACCUUUCCUCAAUCAGGCACUUUGUGUCUAUUAUCUCAUUUAAUCUUUGUUCUGCUUUAUAAAGUGGCUCUUAAUAUGCCCCCUCUACAAAUGAGCCACCUUAUCUAAUGUCACUAAGAUGUGUACCGGACCUGAUUCCAAAGCCUAUGCAGUUUCCAUUAAGCACCUCUGCCUUUUGAAAAGUAGGUAAUUUCUCCAUCUCUCCUAGCCCCCAUUUUCUGAAUCUGUGGCACAUUAAAUGCAUAUAAAUGCAAAGACAGAUGACAGUAUCUCCAUGUCUGAAAGGUAGCCUACGUGUGUUAGCCUCUGGAGGCACCCUGCUAGGAGGCUGGAAUCUGGGAUCCAAUGCGGUCCAGCAUUUAGCAGAGUGUGCCGCUGCUCCAGGCUCCAGAGCAUUCUAGGUGCUAUGUAACAUUUGACAUUUUGACAUGGGCAUUAGAAAAAAAAAAUACAACUAGCACACUAAACUCAUUAUUUCAAAUAUUGAUCAGGAUAAAAAUAUGUUAACAAAAAAGUCAUUAAAAAUAAUGAGCUUCUUGUGAGUGAUUUACAGAUUUGACUAAAAUGCAAACUGUCAAUGACAAAUAUGAGAAUUAAUAUACUCCAAAGGGUAAUGAAGGAACAGUCCUCCUGACAUCUUUACAUGCCAGGUAGCACCCUGGCCUUUUAGAGAGGUAGGGAUAGCAAUUGUAAAGCAGCACUGGGUCCCCUAGCUAGAAUCGUCCAUUACUGGCUUUUGUCACUAACUGAAAAAUGCGGUCAUGGUUUCCUUUUCUCUGGCACAUUAAAAAUAAAGGACAUCUUUUUCCUUUCAUGUGGACAUCUGAUGAGAUUUACUGAAACUCUACCUUUAACGCUGCAAGAGUUUAUGGGAAAUAGUAAUCCACCCCAAGAAUAAACAGUAAAUGGAAUGACGAUUUUCUAGGAAGUGCUGUGUCUGGCUGCGGCAGAAGCAGCAAUGAGCUAAGAGAGGUUUUUUGGCAGCCCUGAAGGGCC